UUUCCUAAGGCUGAAAACUGAAAUCUUCACCAUGGAGACUGCAUAUUCUUUAUUGGGUUAGAACAGAAUAUAGAUAAGGACCUGAGCAGCAACGGCUGAGGAAGGUGCUUUCCAUGGGCUGAGGUUCCCGAGAACGUUGCUCCCUCCCUCAUACCUUCCUGCCACCUGACCCUUCAGUCCUCUCACCCCACCUCUGUGAGGGGACCCAGAGAGAAACAGCCUCUCCGUCGAAGCAACGUCUCUCCAGAGACCCCUGUCCCAGCUC